rnacentral:tRNA from 1 species
UGUCUAAGCUAGUCGGUAGAGCACCUGACUUUUAAUCAGGGUGUCCCGCGUUCGAGUCGCGGAUAGAUCACCA